UACGGGGGGGGCAAGCGUUGUUCGGAAUUACUGGGCGUAAAGGGCUCGUAGGUGGCCAACUAAGUCAGACGUGAAAUCCCUCGGCUUAACCGGGGAACUGCGUCUGAUACUGGAUGGCUUGAGAUUGGGAGAGGGAUGCGGAAUUCCAGGUGUAGCGGUGAAAUGCGUAGAUAUCAGGAGGAACACCGGUGGCGAAGGCGGUUCUCUGGGCCUUACCUGACGCUGAGGAGCGAAAGCGUGGGGAGCAAACAGG
rnacentral:rRNA from 1 species